AUACCUUUCUCGGCCUUUUGGCUAAGAUCAAGUGUAGUAUCUGUUCUUAUCAGUUUAAUAUCUGAUACGUGGGACACGUGCCCACAAUGAUAUUAAAUUUAUUUUUUGUGGGGAAGAAUCUAUAAUGGUAGCUUGCUACUAAGAUUCUUAUGUGUUGCCCAAGUGUUGCACUACUGCUUGGGCCUGGCGCACCCCAA